GCCCCCGUAGCUCAGCAGGAUAGAGCAACGGAUUCCUAAUCCGUAGGUCGCAGGUUCGAAUCCUGUCGGGGGUACCA
rnacentral:tRNA from 1 species